GAAAUGCGAUAAGUAGUGUGAAUUGCAGAAUUCAGUGAAUCAUCGAAUCUUUGAACGCACAUUGCGCCCUUUGGUAUUCCUUAGGGCAUGCCUGUUCGAGCGUCAUCUAAACCUUCAAGCCCUGCUUGGUGUUGGGUGCCUGUCCCGCCUCCGCGCGCGGACUCACCUCAAAUCCAUUGGCGGCCCCCGCGUCGGCCACGAGCGCAGCAGAAACGCGAACUCGUGAGCCCGUCCGGGCGGCUUCCAGAAGCUACACCCACCCAGUUUGACCUCGGAUCAGGUAGGGAUACCCGCUGAACUUAAGC
rnacentral:misc_RNA from 1 species